GAUGAACGCUGGCGGCGUGCCUAAUACAUGCAAGUCGAGCGAACAGAUGAGGAGCUUGCUCCUCUGACGUUAGCGGCGGACGGGUGAGUAACACGUGGAUAACCUACCUAUAAGACUGGGAUAACUUCGGUAAACCGGAGCUAAUACCGGAUAAUAUAUUGAACCGCAUGGUUCAAUAGUGAAAGACGGUUUUGCUGUCACUUAUAGAUGGAUCCGCGCCGCAUUAGCUAGUUGGUAAGGUAAAGGCUUACCAAGGCAACGAUGCGUAGCCGACCUGAGAGGGUGAUCGGCCACCCGGGAACUGAGCCACGGUCCAGACUCCUACGGGAGGCAGCAGUAGGGAAUCUUCCGCAAUGGGCGAAAGCCUGACGGAGCAACGCCGCGUGAGUGAUGAAGGUCUUCGGAUCGUAAAACUCUGUUAUUAGGGAAGAACAAAUGUGUAAGUAACUAUGCACGUCUUGACGGUACCUAAUCAGAAAGCCACGGCUAACUACGUG
rnacentral:rRNA from 1 species